rnacentral:rRNA from 1 species
UACGGAGGGUGCAAGCAUUAAUCGGAAUUACUGGGCGUAAAGGGCGCGUAGGCGGGUAUGUAAGUCAGAUGUGAAAUUCCGGACCUCAAUUUCGGGACUGCAUUUGAAACUGCACAUCUAAGAGGGUAGGCGGAGAAAACGGAAUUCCACAUGUAGCGGUGAAAUGCGUAGAUAUGUGGAAGAACACCUGUGGCGAAAGCGGUUUUCUAGCUUACACCUGACGCUGAGGCGCGAGAGCAAGGGGAGCAAACAGG